GACGAACGCUGGCGGCGUGCUUAACACAUGCAAGUCGAACGGAAAGGCCCUGCUUGCAGGGUACUCGAGUGGCGAACGGGUGAGUAACACGUGGGUGAUCUGCCCUGCACUUCGGGAUAAGCCUGGGAAACUGGGUCUAAUACCGGAUAGGAGCCAUUUUUAGUGUGAUGGUUGGAAAGUUUUUUCGGUGUAGGAUGAGCUCGCGGCCUAUCAGCUUGUUGGUGGGGUAAUGGCCUACCAAGGCGGCGACGGGUAGCCGGCCUGAGAGGGUGGACGGCCACAUUGGGACUGAGAUACGGCCCAGACUCCUACGGGAGGCAGCAGUGGGGAAUAUUGCACAAUGGGCGCAAGCCUGAUGCAGCGACGCCGCGUGGGGGAUGACGGCCUUCGGGUUGUAAACUCCUUUCGCUAGGGACGAAGUUUUUUGUGACGGUACCUAGAGAAGAAGCACCGGCUAACUACGUG
rnacentral:rRNA from 1 species